UUGUUGGUAAGGUAAAAGCUUACCAAGGCUUCGAUCAGUAGCUGGUCUGAGAGGACGACCAGCCACACUGGGACUGAGACACGGCCCAGACUCCUACGGGAGGCAGCAGUGGGGAAUUUUGGACAAUGGGGGCAACCCUGAUCCAGCCAUGCCGCGUGAGUGAAGAAGGCCUUCGGGUUGUAAAGCUCUUUCAGCCGGAACGAAACGGUUACGGAUAACACCCGUGACUACUGACGGUACCGGAAGAAGAAGCACCGGCUAACUACGUGCCAGCAGCCGCGGUAAUACGUAGGGUGCGAGCGUUAAUCGGAAUUACUGGGCGUAAAGCGUGCGCAGGUGGUUUUGUAAGUCAAAUGUGAAAGCCCCGGGCUCAACCUGGGAACUGCGUUUGAAACUACAAGACUAGAGUGUGGCAGAGGGGGGUGGAAUUCCGCGUGUAGCAGUGAAAUGCGUAGAGAUGUGGAGGAACACCGAUGGCGAAGGCAGCCCCCUGGGUCAACACUGACGCUCAGGCACGAAAGCAUGGGGAGCAAACAGGAUUAGAUACCCUGGUAGUCCAUGCCCUAAACGAUGUCAACUAGUUGUCGGGCCUUUACGGGCUUGGUAACGUAGCUAACGCGUGAAGUUGACCGCCUGGGGAGUACGAUCGCAAGAUUAAAACUCAAAUGAAUUGACGGGGACCCGCACAAGCGGUGGAUUAUGUGGAUUAAUUCGAUGCAACGCGAAAAACCUUACCUACCCUUGACAUGUAUCGAAGCCCGCAGAAAAGCGGGGGUGCCCGAAAGGGAACGAUAACACAGGUGCUGCAUGGCUGUCGUCAGCUCGUGUCGUGAGAUGUUGGGUUAAGUCCCGCAACGAGCGCAACCCUUGUCAUUAAUUGCCAUCAUUUAGUUGGGCACUUUAAUGAGACUGCCGG
rnacentral:rRNA from 1 species